UUGACAGCUUCAUUCCACGUUUUGAACCUAGU
rnacentral:piRNA from 1 species